rnacentral:rRNA from 1 species
AGCAGCCGCCGCGGGAAUACAGAGGGUGCGAGCGUUAAUCGGAUUUACUGGGCGUAAAGCGUGCGUAGGCGGCUUUUUAAGUCGGAUGUGAAAUACCUGAGCUUAACUUAGGAAUUGCAUUCGAUACUGGGAAGCUAGAGUAUGGGAGAGGAUGGUAGAAUUCCAGGUGUAGCGGUGAAAUGCGUAGAGAUCUGGAGGAAUACCGAUGGCGAAGGCAGCCAUCUGGCCUAAUACUGACGCUGAGGUACGAAAGCAUGGGGAGCAAACAGGAUUAGAUACCCCAGUAGUCCCUGUCUCUUAUAC